rnacentral:pre_miRNA from 1 species
AAUAGGUGCAUUUUUAUAUUGUUCACGUCCAACGUUUGACCGUUCGUCUUAUUUGAAAUUUUUCUAUGAUUAGUAUUUUUAUUGUUAGUAGAUGAUAAAACAUAAAUAGUAUUUUAUGUGUGACUAACUUUUUUUAAUAUUUUCAUAAAAUUUUUAAAUAAGACGAACGGUCAAACCUUCGACACGGAUUACUACGAUUGCACUUAUU